CCUACGGGUGGCUGCAGUGGGGAAUAUUGCACAAUGGGCGCAAGCCUGAUGCAGCCAUGCCGCGUGUGUGAAGAAGGCCUUCAGGUUGUAAAGCACUUUCAGCGGGGAGGAAGGCGUUAAGGUUAAUAACCUUGGCGAUUGACGUUACCCGCAGAAGAAGUACCGGCUAACUCCGUGCCAGCAGCCGCGGUAAUACGGAGGGUGCAAGCGUUAAUCGGAAUUACUGGGCGUAAAGCGCACGCAGGCGGUCUGUCAAGUCGGAUGUGAAAUCCCCGGGCUCAACCUGGGAACUGCAUUCGAAACUGGCAGGCUAGAGUCUUGUAGAGGGGGGUAGAAUUCCAGGUGUAGCGGUGAAAUGCGUAGAGAUCUGGAGGAAUACCGGUGGCGAAGGCGGCCCCCUGGACAAAGACUGACGCUCAGGUGCGAAAGCGUGGGGAGCAAACAGGAUUAGAUACCCCGGUAGUC
rnacentral:rRNA from 1 species